GUUUAGGGCAUCUGCAGAAGAAAGUAAACAAGUGGUGCGGCGUGGCCGGGCUAGAGGGGAGAGCAGGAUGUGCUCCUGCUCUAGACAAGGCUGUGCUUUGAAGGAGGGUUUGGCUGGGAGCAAAGUCAGCCUCGUGUUUACGGCAGCGGGACUGGGAUUCUCCACGUGAUCCUUGGCAAAGCAUCCCAUCCCAGGGUGCAGGGAGGAAUCAGCGCCCCACAGCACCCCAGGCUUUGGGUGCUGAGCUCUGUGGGGCACCACACGGAGCAAACAGGAGCUGCUCCUGAGGGGGAGGCUCACCGAGACACAAAACCAUGGCCAUGGCAGAGCCAGAGCAGAGCUUGCCCGGGAACGCUCGGAAAGAAACAAAAAAUAAGGCAAAACCCCCCCAACAACCACCGGCCUUCUGCAAAAGCACCGCAAAGUCCUCCUUGCAAACGCCCUCGGGCAUCAUCGGCCAAGCAAAAUCCCGGGGGUGAUUUUGGGCAGAGAUCCAGCCGCCUCCCUGGGUGAUCCAGAACCACAGCAUGUCAUCUUCCCCAGGGCCGGGGGAGAGGCUGGGCAUCCACCCAGGCACCAGCGCCGGGCCGUGCCCUCCCCGCCGGGGUACAGCCUGUGCCGGGGCUGCGGCACCGGGGGGCUCCGCGGAACCUCUGCCAGCUGCCCGGCCCCCGCCGCCAGCCCGCCAGGACAUCUUGUUUGUGUUUUUGUGCGGAGCACACUCCCAGCGGGUUAUGUCAGAGAUGGGCUGCUGACAGGUGCUGCUGAGAUGGAAGGAGGCUGAGAUGGAAAAUCAAGGAUGCCUUGAUAUGGUCUGUCACUAGCUUGAAGAGAAAAAAAAGCAGGGUGAUGGCAGGCUGCUGCAGUCUUCAUGUCCAUGGAAGAGCCCAGUUCCUCACAAAUCUUCCCCCUUGAUUUUUUUUUGACAGAAUACAGUCUUUUGUUAUUUACUGAUGUCACUGUAGCCUAGGAGAGAAAUCAACAGAGUCAUGAAUUAUAGACUAUGCUUGUAGGACAUUUCACUCUGUUUGAUUUAGUGUGAACAAAUUCCAGAUAAUUAGAGAUGAGUUCAAGUUACAGCACUUCACUUCUCUCUUCUGAGUUGCCCUAAGAGGAGAGGAGUGUCUGGGUUGAGUAUUUUCAUGGGGGUCAUUGGGAAGGUGAGAUCCUUCUGUGUGUAGGUCUCAAUUUUGAGGAACCAUAAUAUUACAGCAAUGCAGCAGGGUGUCCACUCAGGAAACACAUCAGACUUUGAAAAAAACCCUCAGAAUCCCCAGGGUGAAAACAUCACAUGGUGUUGUGUGGGUUUUCUUCAGCUUUAGCUGUGGCAUUCUGCAAAUGAUCCUUCACCUGCAGGGCAUUUCCAUCCCAGCUACCAUCUCCUGCUGCUGAGCACUUGAGGGGUAAGGAAAGAAGCAUCUUGGCCUGGGAUUUUGAGAUCUGGGACUGCUUGGACAUAAAAUGCACCAUCUCUGCAAAGCUUUCCACCAGCAUCCUCAUUUUGUGUGUAGAAAAGCAACUCCAGCCUUCCACUCAAAUCAAAAAAACAAAAACAAAAAAACCAAACAAACAAAAAACAAAACAAAAAACUAAACAACCAAGAAAUUAAAGGGGUAUGGGAAGAGGCCAGAGUCUUACUUUCUCCUUGAACAACAAAACCCUUGCCUCAAAGCAAAGCCAAAGUCACUUCAUCAUGAUUUUGGAAGAUGAUGUACAGUGCCGUGGUAUAACUGCGAGGGGAGGUGUCCCUGAGCACACAGCCACCCCAGGGCACAAUUAGGGGAGUUAACCGGACUUUUCCAUCUGAAUGCUCCAUUUAUUAUAAAUAACCACCAUUUUAAUCAUAACUCACUGCCUGCUGGAGAUCCUUUGGUAAUGCCAUUGUCAUCUGUGAGCACUGGAGACUGGGAAGGAGAAGGAUGUGAUGGACUCUCACAAGGGCUACGUUCAGUUCUCUCCACAAUUUGGAAAGUCUGGGUGGUCUUUGGCAAGGUCCUCUUCAUAUACCCAGCUACAACACCAAAUACACUCCUUAAGAUAGUUAAGGCAUAGGUGAUGCACUCCUGCCUACCCUUUGAGUUUAUAGCUCUUACUGUUGGUUAAAAUCUGAAAAGAUUAGGCCAAUAUGUGGACAUUGGGCCUGAAGAAUUCCUCAGGUCAGGUUUUGAAGGUUUAGCUCAUGAUUUUUAACGCCUGGACAUCACAGGGGCAAAUACUUGGUUUGCUUGCAGUCUGAUCAACCCCAUGUUUUCCAGCCAAGCACUUGACCCAGAGAACCAAGCCAAUAACUGCGUGUCUCACAAGGAACAAUCAGCAGCAAGAACAAUAAAAAUCCUUGGAAACACAUGCAGACUCCAUUACCAUGUAAAACACCCCAAUGGCACAGUCACUUAUGGACCAGCCCUUUUACUACCCGGGAGGAAAGAAGGCAUGGACCUUCUUUGGAUGUGAAAGUAAAACUGCUUAUUUCUGUCUCUUCAGGAUGGGUGGGACAAGGAAGGCAUCAAGAAACUAAAACCAGAGAAGGAACAGAAUGAAUAUUUAAGGAAAAUAAUUGCAGCAUCCAGCAAAAUGUUUUCUCUUUCUAUCCUUAUUUGAAGUAAUGGUUAUUCCCCACCUGAGUGGCGCUGGUGGUUGUGACUCCUCUCAGGAGGUAAAUCACAGAGUCACAGGCUGGUUUGGGUUGGGAGGGACCAUAAAGAUCAUCCAAUUUUGACUCUCCCAUGCAUAAGAAGCUCAGCUGUACUGCACAUGUAAUGGGCUGAAUGGACAGCUCAGUCCCUGGGGCGGUGUCUGGUGACGGGUGGCUGUGAUGAGACUUGGAGGAAAGCCACUCAUGGUGGAGAGAACCACUUGGGGUCCCAGCUGGUUCAUGUUUUACAUGCAGUCAUUAAAAAAAAAAAAAACUAAAAAAAUCAUUCAGCAUGCAAACAGUGGAUGGAGGAAGGGUUUUUUUUUUAAACCGGAGUCAUAGCAGUCAUAGCCAGUACUGAUUCCUUGCUGUCAUGGUCAGAGGUCCCCUCUGAUGCAUGGAGGGGACUCUCCUGUCCUGUGCUGAUGUGACCUGGAAAUCCCAAUGGUCUUGGAGUUCCCCUGGCUCCAGGUCCAUGCAGGGGGGUGAGGGCACUGAUUGGUGUUCAACAUCCUGUCCCACCAGAGACUGGAUGGAAAAUAUUGAUUUCCCUUCAGAGGAGGCACAUUCAGAGAUGUAUUUAUUGGUGGCUUGUUUCUCCUUGGAGGCAAAGGGAGUGCAAAGACAAAACAAAGCCAUGUUGAAGGCCCCAGGCAUGGAGCAGGAACAUAGCACUGAUACAAGGCUCUAGAACAUGCAAGAUCUUGGUUUCCUACACCAAACCACAAUGAAGACUCCUGGCUCCUUUGUCAGCCACCAUAGAGCCAGCAAAUAUUAAGUGCUGUCUCCACCAAGGUGCUGGUAGUCCCAAGGUGACAUCUCUUGCUGCUCAUUACACAAAAAUGUCACAUCCUCUCUGGGGGUGUUUUCAAGCUAAGGUGCCCUUUCAGACCCGAGCUUCAUGGCUGGGAAGAAGCCCCCCCUGGGAUCAGAUGCAGAGGCAGAAGAAAACACGACUAAGGAGGCACGAGGUGUUUGAGCUGGUGGCAGCAGGAAUUGGCUCAGGUUUGUUUGGCUGAUGGAUAUUCACUGUGCUGUUGGAAGUGGGAUGUAAGAGCACCACCAGCCCCUGAGGUGCCACAUUUUUCUGCACAUGGGUGCAGUGACUGCCCUUUUGAAGGAGGUUAUUAAUCUUUCCCGUGUCACUGGUUUGAGUGAUGGAGCAGUGAAACACCUGUUCUGGCAGCACCUAGAGAGGAAGCCCAAAGACCUGGCUCCUCAGAGGACAACCCACAAGCACCCACUUGAAGGACAGAGACUCGUCCCUAGAAUUUCACAGCCUCUUGGGAACUUGGGAAGCUUGAGGUUGAAAGCCCCUCCAUGGCACGUACCUGGAGGAGCACUUCAUCUUCUCUGGCUGUAAGAAUUUGUCUUAACCAAAGAUUUUCAAUUAAAAGUCAAGACUGAG